UACGUAGGGUGCAAGCGUUGUCCGGAAUUAUUGGGCGUAAAGAGCUCGUAGGCGGUUUGUCGCGUCUGCUGUGAAAUCUGGGGGCUCAACCCCCAGCCUGCAGUGGGUACGGGCAGACUAGAGUGCGGUAGGGGAGAUUGGAAUUCCUGGUGUAGCGGUGGAAUGCGCAGAUAUCAGGAGGAACACCGAUGGCGAAGGCAGAUCUCUGGGCCAUUACUGACGCUGAGGAGCGAAAGCGUGGGGAGCGAACAGG
rnacentral:rRNA from 1 species